rnacentral:rRNA from 1 species
CGCUUAGCCGUAAAAUAUUAUUUACAUUAAAAACGCCAAAGCAACUACGAGCGCAAGCUUAAAACUUAAAGGACUUGACGGUGUCCCAUCUACCUAGAGGAGCCUGUUCUAUAAUCGAUAAUCCUCGUUAUAUCUCACCUUUUUUAGCUUAUCAGUCUGUAUACUNCCGUCGUAAGCUUACCAUAUGAAUGUAUUAGUAAGUUAAAUAGUAAUAACAAUUACCAAAACGUCAGGUCAAAGUGCAGCCAACAAAAAGGGAAGAAAUGGGCUACAAUUUCUACUUAAGAACAUACGAAUUUAAGUAACUGAAAACUACUAUGANGGCGGAUUUAGAAGUAAAAUGAAAAUAAAGUGUUCAUUUUAACAAUGCUCUGGGACGUGUACACACCGCCCGUCAUCCUCUUCAAUUCUAUUAAAAAUUUACAUAAAAAAUAAACCUGUAACACGAGGAGGCAAGUCGCAACACGGUAAGUAUACUGGAAAGUGUACUUGGACAUCAAAAUGUAGUUUAUACAAAACCUCUCGCUUACACCGAGAUAAUAUCUAAUUAUAUAGAUCANGGGGGNGCCUCUAAUUUAGUUCUAUAACAUUAGCAUAUAGUCUUUAAACCAAAUACCUCCUAAACAAAACAUUUAUACGAUUUAGUAGGAGCGAUCAANAAACCAUUAGAAUCUNUUUUUUUANGUCCCNAAGGGAAAAAUGAAUUGNGGGGGAUUNNCCCANGGACUUAAGNGGGAUCNCGGUUUUU